GAAAAGAAACUAACAAGGAUUCCCCUAGUAGCGGCGAGCGAAGCGGGAAAAGCCCGGGAUGAAAAUCUCUUUGGAGAAUUGUAGUCUGAGCUCCCUUGGGCGGUCAGUGUGGGUAAAUCGUCUGGGAUGACGUGCCAUGGAGGGUGAGAGCCCCGUCCACCCCACACAGGACCCGCCCGCACGAGGGCGCUUCAACCGAGUCGGGUAGCUUGGGAAUGCUGCUCCAAUUGGUGGUAAAUCUCAUCAAAGGCUAAAUAACGGUGGGAGACCGAUAGCGAACAAGUACCGUGAGGGAAAGAUGGAAAGAACUUUGAAAAGAGAGUGAAAAGCGCUUGAAACCGUCACGGGGGAAGCGGAUUGCGUGAGUGAUGGCGUGCACUGUUCAGCUCAAAAUGUGGAGUGUAUUCUGUGCGCGCCGGGCGUGUGUGGCUGGGGUGCGUGCGAAUUUGGCACGCGUUCCUGGUGAGGGCUCCCUGCUCGUCAGGUGAGGACACACGCGAAAUGACGCAAUACGACCCGUCUUGAAACACGGACCAAGGAGUCUAGCACGGCUGCGAGUCGAAGGGUGUUUAAACCCAGAGGGCGCAGUGAAAGCGAAAGAAAGCAAAUUGGGGAGGCGUUGCGGUUUUACCAAAAUGUCCUACCUCGAGCACCUGUGCUGGGACCCGAAAGAUGGUGAACUAUGCCGGAGUAGGGCAAAGCCAGAGGAAACUCUGGUGGAGGCUCGUAGCGAUGCUGACGUGCAAAUCGCUCGUCGAACUUGGGUAUAGGGGCGAAAGACUAAUCGAACCAUCUAGUAGCUGGUUCCCUCCGAAGUUUCUCUCAGGAUAGCGGGCCGACGACAUGUUGUUUUGUGCGGUAAAGCGAAUGAUUAGUGCAUUUGGGGGCCGAAGGCCUUCAGGCGAUUCUCAAACUUUAAAUGCGCAAGGGGGCGGCUGCUUAAUUGAGCCUGCUCUUUGAAAAACGUCGGCCCUGUGGGCCACUUUUGGUAAGCAGAACUGGCGAUAAGGGAUGAACCUUAAGCGCGGUUAAGGCGCCGCAUUGCCCGCUUAUAGACCCCACAAAAGGUGUUGAUUCAUCCAGACAGCAGGACGGUGGCCAUGGAAGUCGGAAUCCGCUAAGGAGUGUGUAACAACUCACCUGCCGAAUGAAUUAGCCCUGAAAAUGGAUGGCGCUGAAGCGGGCAGCCGACACCGCGCCGUUCGGGCGAGACGAUGCCCGAAUGAGUAGGAGGGCGUGGCGGUCAGUGACGCAGGCGUGGGUGCAGACCCCGCUGAAACGGCCGCUAGUGCAGAUCUUGGUGGUAGUAGCAAAUAUUCAAGCGAGAUCCUUGAAGGGCGAAGCGGGGAAGGGUUCCACGCGAACAUUGAUUGGGCGUGGGUGAGUC
rnacentral:rRNA from 1 species